rnacentral:rRNA from 1 species
GACGUAGGGCGCGAGCGUUGUCCGGAUUUAUUGGGCGUAAAGAGCUCGUAGGCGGCUUGUUGCGUCGACCGUGAAAACCCGGGGCUCAACUUCGGUCUUGCGGUCGAUACGGGCGGGCUAGAGUUCGGUAGGGGAGACUGGAAUUCCUGGUGUAGCGGUGAAAUGCGCAGAUAUCAGGAGGAACACCGGUGGCGAAGGCGGGUCUCUGGGCCGAUACUGACGCUGAGGAGCGAAAGCGUGGGGAGCGAACAGG